rnacentral:tRNA from 1 species
GUCCCUGUAGCUUACAAAAAGCAUAACACUGAAGAUGUUAAGACGGCUGCUACACAUGCACCCAAGGACA